GGUACUGAGUAAUUGCGCAUGAUAUUUCUCAUGUGAGGAAGGUCCAUGCUCGCACACUCUGCGAUGGGUGUAGUGUUUGUGCUGGGAUAAAGAAUAAACCCAGGCGUGGUGCAAACCACGACGGCGACUGAAAUGGCUAAGGCUGUGCUAUGUCAAAAUAGGUCUGAAAGUGCCAUAGAAACGGAUUCCUAGGUGAAAGUCUAGGACUUGAGACGAGGUAAACCCCACAAGCGGGCAACCCAAACUUUGGUAGGGGCGGCUGACCUAGUGAAAUGAAACGAUGGUCGGUAUGGCGGCAACGCUUAGAUAGAUGAUUACUGAAGGUGCUUAAUCCCUGUUAAGUACUGGAACAAAACAUGGCCUACAGGU
rfam:Fructobacillus sp. EFB-N1 FEFB_c000001, whole genome shotgun sequence.